UCGCGCCGCCGCCACUCCGUUUUCCUCAGGAUCCCUCCCGAUCCAGCCGAUCCGACCAUCUCCCUCGUUUUCAGCACUGCCCAAUCCAUCGAUCCACCCAACCAGCAGCCCCUUCUCGUCCCCGUACCUGCUGCAGCCGCUCCACGACGGCCAUCCCGACAGCCCCGCCGCCGGCCGACCAAACCAGCAGAUGAGCGCCGGCUUCCUCUCCUUCCCCGUUGUUUUUCUCUCUCCCUGCCUCCUUCUAUCUCUUAGCGCUCUCUCUCUCGUUUUGGACAGGGAACCGAAGGAGGCCGCCAUGGCCUAGGAGUUUCACCACCGCCCCAUCGCCUGGAUCCGUUGCUCCGUCCGGCCUCCCUCGCCUCUCCCGCGUCAGCGGAGGUCGCCUCCGCCCGCCGCCAUCGUCUUCCCGGAGCGCCUCCCCGCCAUGGCCGCCCGAACCUGAAGCUCCAUCCUGCCUCGUUCCACGCCUCGUCUCUGGCCAGAACGAGCCGUCCCAGGCCUCCUCGUCAGACCGGCUCCCCCCGUCAAGUCCUCGCGUCGCCAUCUAGCAGCCAUCGUCGCCGCCCUGCUCUGUUCGUCGCCGUCUCCGUCAGAUCCGGCGAGGUCCUGCGUCCCAGCUUCCAGGUCAUCGCGUCGCCCCACCGGAGGCCACCAGCGCCAUCGCAAUCCUGCGCCUCUGCUUCCCCUUUGUCCCCUGCUUCAGGUCGAGCAGCGCUCGCUGCCUCGCUCGUCGACCACAGCCCCGCAUUGACCAAGUCCCAGCGCCCCUUCCAGCCUCCCUCUCCACCGAACCGGGCCGAAGCCCAUGGUUCCGGUUACGUUGCGUUGGUGAGGAUUCGUUCGACUACGUUGGUUCGUCUACUUCA